CAGAGGUUGUGCUGGCAGGGCAGGAUGACCACAGGCUUGGUGAACAUCUCCAAACAGAUGGGGCAGAUCAGCUGUUUCUCCAGGUCAAUGGAGACCAAAGGGCUUGCCCUAGCCUGUGCAGCCACAUCCUGCAGCCUAAUAGACAUUCUGUUGUCAGCGAGCAGCCGUGGCCAUGAGAGGCAGGAUGUCAUUUUGCCCAUGUGUUUUGGGAGGCACCAGGAUCCUACCUUUCCAAGGUGUGAAGUACAUCUGGUUACUGGAGAAGACAAUAGGAGCAAUGGCUGCUCUGGGAGCUUGAACACUUCAGGGUGUAAACAUCUCACCACCCUGAAAACCAACCAAACAAAAUUGCCUGUCUACAACUGUGCUUAAGUUUGUUCUGGUAAGAUUUUGGUCUAAGGAGCUAUAACAUAAAAAUCCAAUGUGACUUCGAGCCAUUUGUGCACAUUAACUCCAUGGGCAGGUUAAAUAUGCAUGAAAAACACCAGAAGAAAUACAGUGUGAAAGGCUUUCAUUUGUGCUGCUAGAGAAUAGGUACUAAUUGUGUAUGUCCUCUCUCCAGUAUUUAAUUCAAAUAUAUUUUCGUUUUGGACACUGCUGUGUUUAUAUCUGUUUAUUAGACCCUGAUAUCCCUUUCAGCUUGGCACUUGUUCCAGAGUUAUUUUUAAAAUGACAAUUUCCCAGAUAAUUUGUGACAUGUGAUGCCUGAUCUUAAGGGAAAGCCAUCUGUGCUUUUACUUGCCAAUAAUUCAUCACACAACUGUACAAGCAAUAAAUAUCUCAUCUUCAAAUUUAAGCCAAAGUCCUUGCAUUACUGUAUAAAAUCACUUUGCCACCAUACUGUGCAUGUAAUCAGAAUAUUUUCUUCUCUUUUAUUCAAUAACUAGAAUACUUUCUCAGUUCAGUGUCUUGUAGAAACCGUUAAUGUUUAUUCUGCCUUAUGACUGUAUAGGGCUUGCGUCUGAAAAAUGCAUUAGAGCAGCUGAGUGAGUGCCCCAUGCAUCCAGGGACAGACCCCCAGUUUUAAAGCAAGGCUGUCAGUCUGCAUGCAACACCAGUCUGGAAACUGUGCACUUUAGGAAAAUAUAAAAGUGAAGGUUUUAAUGGAUUUCUGCAUGAAAAGGAAUACUAUCUUCUGCGUGCAAUUGUAAUAAAUAAUAUUAAAUUAAAUGUA